rnacentral:rRNA from 1 species
GGUGACAGGAAAUGUGGUGUUUAGGCCGUACCUUGUCCCGAUACGUCUCUCCUCAAGUCCACUUGAUUGUGGCCCCCAGGCCCAGAGAGGGNUGUAAGGCCCGUUGAGGCGAGACGUUNCGGUACCUGGUGCGUCCUUAGAGUCGGGUUGUUUGGGAAUGCAGCCCUAAGCGGGUGGUAAACUCCAUCCAAGGCUAAAUACUAGCACGAGUCCGAUAGCGAAGAAGUACCGCGAGGGAAGGUUGAAAAGAACUUUGAAGAGAGAGUUCAAGAGUACGUGAAACCGCUGAGAGGCAAACUGGUGGAACUGAAAUGGUCCCGAGGAAUUCAGCCGCUGGUGGUUGCACAAUCUUUGGUGCUUGAUUUAACGACAACGCCAUUGAAUGACGUUUCCAUCAUCGGUGCACUUUCCUCGUUAUGGGCCCGACCACGACCGGUGAGCCGAUNUGUCUGUCGUGUUUGGAAGAUAGCGCCAUCUUCGGAAGGCGUGUUAUAGACUUGCACACGGAGCAGUCGGCGCACUGGAUGAAAGUGCCUGCCCUCUGGGCUCAUAUGGCGGUUGUUUUGUUGGCGAGUUCCGAUGUCACUACUUCGGUAGAGUCGUUGGACUGUGUCGGCAUUAUGGUUGCCCUCUAUGAUUGGCACUGUUAAGUCUGUGGUUGUGAAGUAGGUAGUCCACCUGACCCGUCUUGAAACACGGACCAAGGAGUCUAACAUGUGCGCGAGUCAUUGGGUUCACGAAACCUAAAGGCGCAGUGAAGGUAAAGAUCUGCUUUGGCAGAUUGAGGUGGGAUGCUGGGUUACGCGCCCAGCCGCACUACCGGCCCGUUCUAUAUGUAUCUCAUUGGAGCGGAGCAAGAGCGUACACGUUGGGACCCGAAAGAUGGUGAACUAUGCUUGCGCAGGUCGAA